rnacentral:rRNA from 1 species
GGGAGCUUGCUCCUGCUGGAUCAGUGGCGAACGGGUGAGUAACACGUGAGUAACCUGCCCUUGACUCUGGGAUAAGCGUUGGAAACGACGUCUAAUACCGGAUACGAGCUUCAGCCGCAUGGCUAGGAGUUGGAAAGAAUUUCGGUCAAGGAUGGACUCGCGGCCUAUCAGCUUGUUGGUGAGGUAAUGGCUCACCAAGGCGACGACGGGUAGCCGGCCUGAGAGGGUGACCGGCCACACUGGGACUGAGACACGGCCCAGACUCCUACGGGAGGCAGCAGUGGGGAAUAUUGCACAAUGGGCGCAAGCCUGAUGCAGCAACGCCGCGUGAGGGACGACGGCCUUCGGGUUGUAAACCUCUUUUAGCAGGGAAGAAGCGAAAGUGACGGUACCUGCAGAAAAAGCACCGGCUAACUACGUGCCAGCAGCCGCGGUAAUACGGAGGG